rnacentral:rRNA from 1 species
AACGAACGCUGGCGGCACGCCUAACACAUGCAAGUCGAACGAAGCUGCAGAGCUUGCUCUGUAGACUGAGUGGCAGACGGGUGAGUAACACGUGGGAAUCUACCAUUUGGUGCGGGAUAACAUCUGGAAACGGGUGCUAAUACCGCAUAAGCCCUAAGGGGGAAAGAUUUAUUGCCAAAUGAUGAGCCCGCGUGAGAUUAGCUAGUUGGUAAGGUAAGAGCUUACCAAGGCAACGAUCUCUAGCUGGUUUGAGAGGAUGAUCAGCCACACUGGGACUGAGACACGGCCCAG